UGACGACGACGACUAUGAAUUGCAACUUGGCAAUUAUGAUAAUAGUGUAACAAGUGAAGGAUAUAGUGAUUUAGAUUGAUGUUUUUGAUGACAACUCCUGGGCAGCGAGGAAAGAGGGUGAAGAGAGUUAAGAGGUUGAGGGAUCGCAC